AACGAACGCUGGCGGCAGGCCUAACACAUGCAAGUCGAGCGAGGAGUCCGGGUCUAGGGGCGGCCGGCGGAGUAAGGCGAGGGGAGGUGCACUUGUCUACGGAAUAGCCAUGGGAAACGGGGAGUAAUACCGAAUAGGCCCUAAUGGGGAAAGAUUUAUUGGAGAAGGAUCAGCACGAGUGGGAUUCGGUAGUUGGUGGGGGAAUGGCCGCCCAAGCGGACGAUGCAUAGCUGGUUGGAGAGGAUGAUCAGCAACGCCUGGACUAGGACACGGCCCCGACUCCUACGGGAGGGAGCAGUGGGUAACCUUAGAACAUGGGGGCAGCCCUGAUCUAGCCCUGCCCGGUGAGUGAUGAAGGUCUUAGGGUUGUAAUGCUCUUUUAGCUGGGCAGAUAAUGACGGUACCAGCAGAAGAAGCCCCGGCUAACUACGUG
rnacentral:rRNA from 1 species